rnacentral:rRNA from 1 species
GACGAACGCUGGCGGCGUGCUUAACACAUGCAAGUCGAGCGGUAAGGCCCUUUCGGGGGUACACGAGCGGCGAACGGGUGAGUAACACGUGGGUGACCUGCCCUCAGCUCUGGGAUAAGCCUGGGAAACCGGGUCUAAUACUGGAUAUGACUCCAUGACGCAUGUUGUGGGGUGGAAAGCCUUGUGCGGCUGAGGAUGGGGCCCGCGGCCUAUCAGCUUGUCGGUGGGGUGANGGCCUACCAAGGCGACGACGGGUAGCCGGCCUGAGAGGGCGACCGGCCACACUGGGACUGAGACACGGCCCAGACUCCUACGGGAGGCAGCAGUGGGGAAUUGUUCGCAAUGGGCNCAAGCCUGACGACGCAACGCCGCGUGGAGGAUGAAGGUCUUCGGAUUGUAGACUCCUGUUGACCGGGACGAAUGGCUCCCAGUGGAUAUGCUGGGGAAUGACGGUACCGGUUGAGGAAGCACGGCUAACUCUGUGCCAGCAGCCGCCGU